ensembl:lncRNA
GGCUGACUGUGGUCUGAUAGGGGUGUCACUGGGCUGACUGUGAUCUGAUAGGGGUGUCAGUGGGCUGACUGUGGUCUGAUAGGGGUGUCAGUGGGCUGACUGUGAUCUGAUAGGGGUGUCAGUGGGCUGACUGUGGUCUGAUAGGGGUGUCAGUGGGCUGAAUGUGAUCUGAUCGGGGUGUCAGUGGGCUGAUUGUGAUCUGAUAGGCGCAUCAGUGGGCUGACUGUGGUCUGAUAGGUGUGUCAGUGGGGUGGGGUGUCAGUGGGCUGACUGUGGUCUGAUAGGGGUGUCAGUGGGCUGAAUGUGAUCUGAUCGGGGUGUCAGUGGGCUGAUUGUGAUCUGAUAGGCGCAUCAGUGGGCUGACUGUGGUCUGAUAGGUGUGUCAGUGGGGUGGGGUGUCAGUGGGCUGACUGUGGUCUGAUAGGGGUGUCAGUGGGCUGACUGUGGUCUGAUUGGGGUGUCAGUGGGCUGACUGUGGUCUGAUA